CAGCCGCCACGGUAAUACGGAGGGUGCAAGCGUUAAUCGGAAUUACUGGGCGUAAAGCGUGCGUAGGCGGUUCGUUAAGUCUGUUGUGAAAGCCCCGGGCUCAACCUGGGAAUGGCAAUGGAUACUGGCGAGCUAGAGUGUGUCAGAGGAUGGUGGAAUUCCCGGUGUAGCGGUGAAAUGCGUAGAGAUCGGGAGGAACAUCAGUGGCGAAGGCGGCCAUCUGGGACAACACUGACGCUGAGGCACGAAAGCGUGGGGAGCAAACAGGAUUAGAUACCCGCGUAGUCCCUGUCUCUUAUAC
rnacentral:rRNA from 1 species